rnacentral:rRNA from 1 species
UCCAAUUUAGAUCACCGAAGUCAUGCAUCAUUGGGCGCGGUCAGUACUUGGGUGGGGGACCACCUGGGAACACCGAUUGCCGU